rnacentral:rRNA from 1 species
UACGUAGGGUGCAAGCGUUGUCCGGAAUUAUUGGGCGUAAAGAGCUCGUAGGCGGUCUGUCGCGUCUGCUGUGAAAACUCGGGGCUUAACCCCGGGCCUGCAGUGGGUACGGGCAGACUAGAGUGCGGUAGGGGAGACUGGAAUUCCUGGUGUAGCGGUGAAAUGCGCAGAUAUCAGGAGGAACACCAGUGGCGAAGGCGGCUUCCUGGACACCAACUGACGCUGAGACGCGAAAGCGUGGGGAGCAAACAGG